GCGUGCCUACCAUGCAAGUCGUACGAGAAAAUCCGCUUCGGCGGGUGAGUAGAGUGGCGCACGGGUGCGUAACGCGUGGAUAAUCUGCCUUUAAGCCGGGAAUAACCCAUCGAAAGGUGGGCUAAUACCCGAUAAUACUAUGGUGCUUUGGCAUCAUAGCCAAAGAGAGCCUCUACAUGUAAGCCCUCGCUUAGAGAUGAGUCCGCGUACCAUUAGCUAGUUGGUAGGGUAAUGGCCUACCAAGGCGACGAUGGUUAGCUGGUCUGAGAGGAUGAUCAGCCACACUGGAACUGAGACACGGUCCAGACUCCUACGGGAGGCAGCGUUGAGGAAUAUUGCGCAAUGGGGGCAACGCUGUACGCAGCAACGCCGCGUGAGCGAGGAACGUUUUCGGAUCGUAAAGCUCUGUCGGGUGGGAAGAAAUGUGCGGAGGU
rnacentral:rRNA from 1 species